rnacentral:rRNA from 1 species
UACGGAGGGUGCAAGCGUUAUCCGGAUUCACUGGGUUUAAAGGGUGCGUAGGUGGGUUUGUAAGUCAGUGGUGAAAUCUCCGUGCUUAACAUGGAAACUGCCAUUGACUACUAUAGAUCUUGAAUUUUCUGGAUGGAUAGCGGAAUAUGUCAUGUAGCGGUGAAAUGCUUAGAUAUGACAUAGAACACCAAUUGCGAAAGGCAGCUAUCUACAGGGAUAUUGACACUGGGGCACGAAAGCGUGGGGGAUCAAACAGGA